UGUCUCAUGGUGUAAUGGCAGCACAACAGUCUUUGGUUCUGUUUGUCUAGGUUCGAAUCCUGGUGAGACAA
rnacentral:tRNA from 1 species